rnacentral:rRNA from 1 species
GACGAACGCUGGCGGCGUGCCUAAUACAUGCAAGUAGAACGCUGAAGGAGGAGCUUGCUCUUCUGGAUGAGUUGCGAACGGGUGAGUAACGCGUAGGUAACCUGCCUGGUAGCGGGGGAUAACUAUUGGAAACGAUAGCUAAUACCGCAUAAAAUUGAUUAUUGCAUGAUAGUCAAUUAAAAGGUGCAAUUGCAUCACUACCAGAUGGACCUGCGUUGUAUUAGCUAGUUGGUGAGGUAACGGCUCACCAAGGCAACGAUACAUAGCCGACCUGAGAGGGUGAUCGGCCACACUGGGACUGAGACACGGCCCAGACUCCUACGGGAGGCAGCAGUAGGGAAUCUUCGGCAAUGGACGGAAGUCUGACCGAGCAACGCCGCGGGAGGGAAGAAGGUUUUCGGAUCGUAAAGCUCUGUUGUAAGAGAAGAACGAGUGUGAGAGUGGAAAGUUCACACUGUGACGGUAUCUUACCAGAAAGGGACGGCUAACUACGUG